AUGUCUCACACAGCUACGUAAACGGCCUGAUAUGGGCAGAACCCUGGAUUCAGUUUAAAAGUCUGUGGUGCUCCAAGAAAAGCAACUGAUGCUUUGACAACCGUGUCUUAAAUGGAACUAACAAUUACCCAGGUUUGAAAUUAUUUUAUUCCCUUUAACCAAAGAACUACUGCAGCAAUGGAGAUUCAGACACUUUAACAGCACAGCAGCAAUUGGAAGCCUCAUCUUUGCAUGCAGACAGUGGAAUGAAGAGUGAUUCUGUUCUGCGGACAACAAAGCGAGCUGUUCAGGCUGACUGCCCUUUGAGAGCAGCUUGCUGCAAGAUAACGUGUGAGAUAAGGCAUUGCACUGACUCUUUUUCCUGUUACAAGUCGAUGCUUGUGCAGUGAUCAACCUGCUUCUUUAAGUUAGACACGACAGAAGGAAGACGGUAACUUCUGGGAAUAACAGAGAACUGGGAAAAACACACUUCUGCAAAGUUUUGAUUUCCUACCACUGGUGCCCUUGAAACAGAGAAAAGUGAAUUUGAGCACCUGUGACAGAGAACAUGAUUUUAUAAGAGGCGCGUGUUACUUCGGAGUGCACAAGGAAACUGUUGAAAAAGGCAUGUACACCAGGAUGAUGUUAAUGGGACAAGAAACUACAAACCCAUGCUGAGACAUGAGCUACAGGUCUAUGUAAAGAGUUCAUCUGAGCUGGCUACCACUGAAUACUUGUGUUGAGCUACAUCAGAUGGAAAACAUCUUUUUCAAGUCUUAUUUAAGUGCACUUCAGUAUUUGCCUCAAGGGAAGUGGCUCUUCCGGGUAUUUACAUAAGGUCAGAUCCUGUCACAGACCUAUUUGCCUCUUGGCACAAAUGUCACCACGAGUAUGCCUUAAGGAAAUACAGCCAUAAAGAGGAAAGCUUGAGUGUUAUGACUCAGCAACAUAAAAGUGGCCCAAUGAAAGAAGAGCUUGAAAACUAUUAUUAAUGGAUGGGAAAUUAUUUGGAAAAAAACAUUUGAUGAAGCAGAAUAUUUUUAGAUGAUUAUUUUAAAUGAUUGCUUGGUAGGUAACUCAAGAGUGCCCACAAAGGUCAACAAGAACAUUUCCACUGACCUCCAAGAGGUAGGAUCAGAUGGCAAAUAUACUGGGACUUCCAAAGAAGUACGGACUGGAAGCGAAAUUUUGUGCGCACAUUUUUGAACUUCCCAACCACAGCUGUUUGUAAUCCAUAUUCAGCAUAAAUAUUUCAUCUUCAGAAGUGCUAGGCAUUAAGACAGUGAGCUGAGCUCUCACAGGGUCUACUGAGGUUCAUUCCUGGCACUAUAGCUUGAAAAUGUUUGUUUUAAUCAUUUAAAUACACGCAUAGAUAGCCUUCAUCAGAGUGAAAGUCUGCUCUUCCAUGAACAAAUACAGAUGAAUUAGACUACAUGAACUACAUUAAACUGCAUUAAAACACAUAACGAAAUCAUGUAACAGAAAGGUGAGCAGUCAUUUUCUCCAGUGGUUAAAGGGCAUCAGUUCUGUCCAGCCUUAGUAACUCCAUCUGUUCAUAUUUUUAUAAAGUUUCCAGAAAAAGUGACAUUAGUGUUCCUUGUUUCAAGGUGGCUUGUUACAUAUUCUUUUUUACAGAAUGAAGCAAAUGUGGACUUUGACUUGAAAACUUUAUUACUAACACUGUUUACCAAUAAACUUUAUUACUGAAGUGCCUUUAGAAAAGAGAAAUGCCAGGCAGGUUUACCCAUCACUUUUAAUGUUUGUCUUGGAUUUAUCAUACCCUAAAGCCAAGCAUUCUGGGAUGUUGGAGGCAAAUACCCAUUGAAGUCAACUCUCCUUGAAGAGUAAAUCAUUGCCAUUCUUCCAUCUCUCUUGAGAUGCUCAAAAAAUGUAGAAGAAAUUCCAACUCAGGAAAAUUUCAAGCUGUCUCAAGUUUGUGUUCCUUAUUAUUAACUCCCAGCCUUAUACACAAGACACAAAAGUCCAUGGGGCUCAGCACAGGCUAGUGUGUUCCAAUACCAGGCAGCAAUAGCCUCAGUCUCAGAGCAGUGAAUUUGCAUCAAAAAUGAAUUUUACCAAGCUUAGCUGAGGUUUUUAAAGUUUUCCUGAGUUUAAGUAUGUGUAAUGGUUAGUGAACAAAGUCCUGUUCUUAUGGUAGAUGUCAAGAUACUAUUCAAAUAUAAAUAGAGAUGGGGGAGGAAAAAAUCUGAAUAAGAGCCUCUUUCAGAAAUGAAAAGUUGGAUUUCUUCCUUUUCUUUUCCAAGUGAUGCAAAGACCAAUAGUAAAUUGCUUAGAAUUGCUGAAAAUAAA